CUUGAGGCACGUGGCGGCCGACGAUAAAGAGCACCGGCACUUGUGCGGCGGUCUGACGGUGAUGGCCGCAAAUGCCGGCGGCGUCUGGAGCCCUGUCGGUGACGUCAC
rnacentral:snRNA from 1 species